rnacentral:rRNA from 1 species
AGCGUAGACGGCUGUGCAAGUCUGAAGUGAAAGGCAUGGGCUCAACCUGUGGACUGCUUUGGAAACUGUGCAGCUAGAGUGUCGGAGAGGUAAGUGGAAUUCCUAGUGUAGCGGUGAAAUGCGUAGAUAUUAGGAGGAACACCAGUGGCGAAGGCGGCUUACUGGACGAUGACUGACGUUGAGGCUGAAAGCGUGGGGAGCAAACA